rnacentral:tRNA from 1 species
CGGGCCGUGGCGCAGCCUGGCUAGCGCGCUUCCUUGGGGUGGAAGAGGUCCCGGGUUCAAAUCCCGGCGGCCCGACCA